GAAGAGAGAGGAGCCUUGUAGGUAUCCCAGAAGAUGACAGCCACAGUGUCUGACUCUGGUCAGGACCUUGGUGCCGUUGACUCAGAGUAAUGUCCUGACCGCAGGAACCACCUCACGAUGGCGCGACUGACUCAGAUUGGUCGUCUUGAGC